CACAGAACAACCAUGAGAGGAGCUUAGGAGCAGGGGUGCCCUGACUUGGGGAAGGAAUUCCUCUAUCAAAUCAGAUGCAGAAUCUGAGGCCAGAGAAGUCGGGUGACAAGCCUUCAGAGUAAGCCAAGCGAGUCUUUGGGGAAGCUGGGCUGAGAGGCCUCCUGACUCCUCUUCCAGGGUUUGUCAGCUCAGACAGACUGCUUCAAAAUCUCUCUGUUGGUUCCUGCUGAGCUGGUAGUGUUGGACUAUUAUAUCUAACCCACUGGAAGGCCCUUGGAUGCUGGUAGAAAAUGCACAGAUGAAUGAGCCAGAAUCCCUGCCUUCAAGGAGCUGGAAAUCUAGCCUGGAGACAAACUUAGCAAACAAGCCGCUGCUAUAAAAUGCACUAAGUGCUACGAUAGAGGAGCAGAGGACCAUCGGAAACAGGAAGGAGAAGGUGUCUUGCUCCCUGCUAGAGGAGCAAGCUUUCAGAGGAGGAAAUGUUUGAAAACCCUAAUGGAUACACAGCAGAUGAUGGUGUGCCUAGGCAAGAAGAGCAAAUUCACUGUGGCAGACGUUCAGAGAGUGGUGGGAGAUGGGACCAUAAGGGAGGUCGUCAUCAUUAUGAAGAACUUUACACGCCGUACUUACUAAUCGGGAUUUUAUCCUAAUGAAGAUGGCUUGUGAAGGAAAGACCUAAGAGCUUUAAAGAACAGCCAGCUCAACAUGAGCUUUCUGUUUGAUAUAUGGACUGGAAGAUUAGAUGAGUCGUGGGCUAAAUUAAUAGAGCUAUAAAUUUCAAGUUAAAGGAGAGGAACAUCCUUUACUUGGAGAAGAAAGCAUGUGCCUCCAGUGAAAUGAGGAAGAGGGAAGCUGUAAAUGAGACAUGCAGCUAGAACCCAUGUCUAGAGCCAUGGUCAACUUAUUCUGAACUCUCCCAGGGAUUCCUGUGAAUCAGAUAUCAGUGGAAGUGUCUUGUCUUUAGGAAUUCAAAUAAAAUUGGUUUGAUU
rnacentral:lncRNA from 1 species